CAAUGCAAAAUAUACUUUCUUAACUUUAAUUUAGUUCAAAACUUUUGUUUUGGAAACACUAUUUACCGGGUCGCAUCUGUUUCUGAAAAUAGCAACUUUCGGAAAAACCCAAAGGUCGCGCAUGUUUUCAGGUCGGCUGCCAUUUUGAAAUUUGUGAAAACAAGAGGAUACACAGUAUCGUCAAAAAUCAAUGUAACUGUUGAUUUAUAUAACUGUUGAUUAAAAAGCAUGGAAACGAUUAAAAUGAAAUGAUUGUUUAAUCAUAACAUGUGGUGAGACUGAUCAUUGAUAAGUGACCUGAUGGUCGACCGGACAAUAAAUUAUCAAGUGCUGUUUUCUAUUGGAGGAGAUGAUUGCAUGUACGGGCAUUGGGCUGGGAAAAUCAAACCCUGGCGAUUAAACACUGACUACCCUAAAACCCGACGAAAGUGGAAGACCUGAAAGACUAUGUGACAAUGUGGUGUAAAAAGAAGUAUGGUGCAGCCAACUGAUGCUAGGCGGAAUCUGGAAAUAACAGAAAGAAUUGGAUAUACGCCAAUAAGUUUGCCAAAAAAGGAAUAAAUAUUCAGUGAAAAUGACUUCAGUGUAUACUUCUCUAGUGUUAAACGGCAGUUGCAUUUAAUGGAAUAAUUCUUAUUUUGAAUUUUAUAUAUAUUUAGCAGAUUAGAAAGCUUCAAAGGUAUUUCUAUCAUUCGUUUCUAAUUUGUCAUGUAAAAGUCAUUUUCAUGUUAUUAUUUUGAAUUCUGUAAAUUAAAUUAUUUACAAAGAAUUCUCUGCUACGUUUCAUCUUUUUAUGUUUUGAGUUGAAUACUUAAAGUGGCUUUUUCACUACUGUGAAAUGACCUAUUAACAGUAUACAAUUAGUAUAGUAUUAAGAGUAUACAAUUGGUAUAGUAUUUGCAGUAUAUAAUUAGUAUACUAUUGACCAUCCGUUGCAAUCAAUUUGCAUAUCAUUACACAGUUUGAUUAGUAAUAGUAUCUUGAUAGUAGUUUGUUAUAGUAUACUAUUAGCUCAUUUGCAUGUGAAAUUUUUACUAAUUCUAUACUAAUGGUAUACUGUAUACGAUUAGUUGUUUGUUAUAGUAGUUUGUUACCCUGUUUUUUUCGUUU